rnacentral:rRNA from 1 species
CCUACGGGUGGCAGCAGUAGGGAAUCUUUCACAAUGGGCGAAAGCCUGAUGGAGCAACGCCGCGUGCAGGAUGAAGGCCUUCAGGUUGUAAACUGCUUUUAUAAGCGAGAAAUAUGAUGGUAACUUAUGAAUAAGGAUCGGCUAACUACGUGCCAGCAGCCGCGGUCAUACGUAGGAUCCGAGCAUUAUCCGGAGUGACUGGGUGUAAAGAGUUGCGUAGGUGGCAUAAUAAGUAGCUAGUGAAAUCUGGUGGCGCAACCAUUCAGACUAUUAGCUAAACUGUUAAGCUCGAGACCGUUAGGGGUAACUGGAAUUUCUAGUGUAGGAGUGAAAUCCGUAGAUAUUAGAAGGAACACCGAUAGCGUAGGCAGGUUGCUGGGACGGUUCUGACACUAAGGCACGAAAGCGUAGGGAGCAAACGGGAUGAGAUACCCUUGUAGUC